GAUGAACGCUGGCGGCGUGCCUAAUACAUGCAAGUCGAGCGAACGGACGAGAAGCUUGCUUCUCUGAUGUUAGCGGCGGACGGGUGAGUAACACGUGGAUAACCUACCUAUAAGACUGGGAUAACUUCGGGAAACCGUAGCUAAUACCGGAUAAUAUUUUGAACCGCAUGGUUCAAAAGUGAAAGACGGUCUUGCUGUCACUUAUAGAUGGAUCCGCGCUGCAUUAGCUCGUUGGUAAGGUAACGGCUUACCAAGGCAACGAUGCAUAGCCGACCUGAGAGGGUGAUCGGCCACACUGGAACUGAGACACGGUCCAGACUCCUACGGGAGGCAGCAGUAGGGAAUCUUCCGCAAUGGGCGAAAGCCUGACGGAGCAACGCCGCGUGAGUGAUGAAGGUCUUCGGAUCGUAAAACUCUGUUAUUAGGGAAGAACAUAUGUGUAAGUAACUGUGCACAUCUUGACGGUACCUAAUCAGAAAGCCACGGCUAACUACGUG
rnacentral:rRNA from 1 species